UACGUAGGGGGCAAGCGUUGUUCGGAUUCAUUGGGCGUAAAGGGUGCGUAGGCGGCGCGGUAAGUCGGGGUGUGAAAUCUCGGGGCUUAACUCCGAAACUGCAUUUGAUACUGCGGUGCUUGAGGACUGGAGAGGAGACUGGAAUUUACGGUGUAGCAGUGAAAUGCGUAGAGAUCGUAAGGAAGACCAGUGGCGAAGGCGGGUCUCUGGACAGUUCCUGACACUGAGGCACGAAGGCCAGGGGAGCAAACGGG
rnacentral:rRNA from 1 species